rnacentral:rRNA from 1 species
CGAACGGGUGAGUAAUGCGUGACCAACCUGCCCCAUGCUCCAGAAUAGCUCUUGGAAACGGGUGGUAAUGCUGGAUGCUCCAACUUGACGCAUGUCUUGUUGGGAAAGUGUUUAGUGGCAUGGGAUGGGGUCGCGUCCUAUCAGCUUGUAGGCGGGGUAAUGGCCCACCUAGGCUUCGACGGGUAGCCGGCCUGAGAGGGCGGACGGCCACAUUGGGACUUAGAUACGGCCCAGACUCCUACGGGAGGCAGCAGGC